GGCCCUGGCCCUGGCCCUGCUCCUGACCCUGGCGCUGCCGUGGUCCUGGCCCUGGCCCUGCUCCUGACCCUGGCC
rnacentral:miRNA from 1 species